rnacentral:rRNA from 1 species
AGAGUUUGAUCAUGGCUCAGAAUGAACGCUGGCGGCGUGCCUUACACAUGCAAGUCGUGCGGAGUCACGGCAGAGGGGCAACCCGAUGCAGUGGCUCAGCGGCAAACGGGUGAGUAAUGGACAGGUAACGUACCCCCAAGACGUGGAUAGCUCAUCGAAAGAUGAGAUAAUACGCGAUAAUGUUCCCUUGCGCAGGCAGGGGAAAGAAAGCGGGCGCAAGCUCGCGCUUCCGGAUCGGCCUGUCUCCUAUCAGCUAGUUGGUGGGGUAAGAGCCUACCAAGGCGAUGACGGGUAGCUGGUCUUAGAGGAUGGUCAGCCACAUUGGAACUGCGACACGGUCCAGACUCCUACGGGAGGCAGCAGUGGGGAAUCAUGGUCAAUGGGCGAAAGCCUGAACCUGCGACGCCGCGUGAGUGAUGAAGGUCGUAAGAUCGUAAAACUCUUUUCAGGGAUCUUAAAGCACAGCUGUCAACAACAGCUGUGUGUGACUCUCCCUGGAAGAAGCCCCAGCCAACUACGUGCCAGCAGCUGCGGUAAUACGUAGGGGGCGAGCGUUAU